rnacentral:rRNA from 1 species
GAUGAACGCUAGCUACAGGCUUAACACAUGCAAGUCGAGGGACCGGCGCACGGGUGAGUAACACGUAUCCAACCUGCCCUUUACUCGGGGAUAGCCUUUCGAAAGAAAGAUUAAUACCCGAUAUAAAGGAUGGGGAUGCGUUCCAUUAGGUGGUUGGUGAGGUAACGGCCCACCAAGCCUUCGAUGGUUAGGGGGUCUGAGGGGAAGGCCCCCCACAUUGGAACUGGGACACGGUCCAAACCCGUACUGGAGGCAGCGGUGAGGAAGAUUGGUCAAUGGGCGGUAGCCUGAACCAGCCACGUAGCGUGAAGGAUGAAGGCUUAUGGGUCGUAAACUUCUUUUAUAUAAGAAUAUGUAUUAUAUGAAUAAGGAUCGGCUAACUCCGUGCCAGCAGCCGCGGUAAUAC